GGCGUGCCUAAUACAUGCAAGUCGAGCGGACAGAAUGGGAGCUUGCUCCCUGAUGUUAGCGGCGGACGGGUGAGUAACACGUGGGUAACCUGCCUGUAAGACUGGGAUAACUCCGGGAAACCGGGGCUAAUACCGGAUGGUUGUUUGAACCGCAUGGUUCAGACAUAAAAGGUGGCUUCGGCUACCACUUACAGAUGGACCCGCGGCGCAUUAGCUAGUUGGUGAGGUAACGGCUCACCAAGGCAACGAUGCGUAGCCGACCUGAGAGGGUGAUCGGCCACACUGGGACUGAGACACGGCCCAGACUCCUACGGGAGGCAGCAGUAGGGAAUCUUCCGCAAUGGACGAAAGUCUGACGGAGCAACGCCGCGUGAGUGAUGAAGGUUUUCGGAUCGUAAAGCUCUGUUGUUAGGGAAGAACAAGUGCCGUUCAAAUAGGGCGGCACCUUGACGGUACCUAACCAGAAAGCCACGGCUAACUACGUGCCAGCAGCCGCGGUAAUACGUAGGUGGCAAGCGUUGUCCGGAAUUAUUGGGCGUAAAGGGCUCGCAGGCGGUUUCUUAAGUCUGAUGUGAAAGCCCCCGGCUCAACCGGGGAGGGUCAUUGGAAACUGGGGAACUUGAGUGCAGAAGAGGAGAGUGGAAUUCCACGUGUAGCGGUGAAAUGCGUAGAGAUGUGGAGGAACACCAGUGGCGAAG
rnacentral:rRNA from 1 species